UACGGGGGGGCAAGCGUUGUUCGGAAUUACUGGGCGUAAAGGGCUCGUAGGUGGCCAACUAAGUCAGACGUGAAAUCCCUCGGCUUAACCGGGGAACUGCGUCUGAUACUGGAUGGCUUGAGUUUGGGAGAGGGAUGCGGAAUUCCAGGUGUAGCGGUGAAAUGCGUAGAUAUCUGGAGGACACCGGUGGCGAAGGCGGCGUCCUGGACCGAACAC
rnacentral:rRNA from 1 species